GAUGAACGCUGGCGGCGUGCUUAACACAUGCAAGUCGAACGGAAAGGCCCAAGCUUGCUUGGGUGCUCGAGUGGCGAACGGGUGAGUAACACGUGGGUGAUCUGCCCUGCACUUUGGGAUAAGCCUGGGAAACUGGGUCUAAUACCGGAUAGGACCAUCGUUUAGUGUCGGUGGUGGAAAGUUUUUCGGUGUGGGAUGAGCUCGCGGCCUAUCAGCUUGUUGGUGGGGUAAUGGCCUACCAAGGCGUCGACGGGUAGCCGGCCUGAGAGGGUGUACGGCCACAUUGGGGCUGAGAGACGGCCCAGACGCCGACGGGAGGCAGCAGUGGGGAAUAUUGCACAAUGGGCGCAAGCCUGAUGCAGCGACGCCGCGUGGGGGAUGACGGCCUUCGGGUUGUAAACUCCUUUCGCCAAGGACGAAGCGUUUUGUGACGGUACUUGGAGAAGAAACACCGGCUAACUACGUG
rnacentral:rRNA from 1 species